GUAGUACCCCGGCCAUCAGAUCCCAUGUGAGGCUUGGCUUUUCGGGGCGACGCGCCCUGAAGUUCACCUCAAACAAGGUUCUAAACGCACGUUGAAGUCAUGAUGCUGCACGCAUGACGCAUAUUUUAUGCGUCCUCUGCUCCUUGUGGUCCAUCUGCGGAAGCGGAUCGGGCCAUAUUUUGCGCAUUGACGGAAAGCGUGCGUCACUGCCGGAGACGGCGCGAGUUCAAGCCCGCAAGGGUACUGAGAUAAACGUAAGGGAUGGUUGAA
rnacentral:sRNA from 1 species